GGUGAUACGGAGGGUGCAAGCGUUGAUCGGAAUUACUGGGCGUAAAGCGCACGCAGGCGGUUUGUUAAGUCAGAUGUGAAAUCCCCGCGCUUAACGUGGGAACUGCAUUUGAAACUGGCAAGCUAGAGUCUUGUAGAGGGGGGUAGAAUUCCAGGUGUAGCGGUGAAAUGCGUAGAGAUCUGGAGGAAUACCGGUGGCGAAGGCGGCCCCCUGGACAAAGACUGACGCUCAGGUGCGAAAGCGUGGGGAGCAAACAGGAUUAGAUACCCUGGUAGUCCACGCUGUAAACGAUGUCGACUUGGAGGUUGUGCCCUUGAGGCGUGGCUUCCGGAGCUAACGCGUUAAGUCGACCGCCUGGGGAGUACGGCCGCAAGGUUAAAACUCAAAUGAAUUGACGGGGGCCCGCACAAGCGGUGGAGCAUGUGGUUUAAUUCGAUGCAACGCGAAGAACCUUACCUACUCUUGACAUCCACGGAAUUCGCCAGAGAUGGCUUAGUGCCUUCGGGAACCGUGAGACAGGUGCUGCAUGGCUGUCGUCAGCUCGUGUUGUGAAAUGUUGGGUUAAGUCCCGCAACGAGCGCAACCCUUAUCCUUUGUUGCCAGCACGUAAUGGUGGGAACUCAAAGGAGACUGCCGGUGAUAAACCGGAGGAAGGUGGGGAUGACGUCAAGUCAUCAUGGCCCUUACGAGUAGGGCUACACACGUGCUACAAUGGCAUAUACAAAGAGAAGCGAACUCGCGAGAGCAAGCGGACCUCAUAAAGUAUGUCGUAGUCCGGAUUGGAGUCUGCAACUCGACUCCAUGAAGUCGGAAUCGCUAGUAAUCGUAGAUCAGAAUGCUACGGUGAAUACGUUCCCGGGCCUUGUACACACCGCCCGUCACACCAUGGGAGUGGGUUGCAAAAGAAGUAGGUAGCUUAACCUUCGGGAGGGCGCUUACCACUUUGUGAUU
rnacentral:rRNA from 1 species